rnacentral:rRNA from 1 species
AUUGAACGCUAGCGGGAUGCUUUAUACAUGCAAGUCGAACGAGUGGCGGACGGGUGAGUAAUAUAUUGGAACGUGCCCAGUAGCGGGGGAUAACUACUCGAAAGAGUGGCUAAUAGCGCAUACUGAGGGAGCGGCCGACAUCGGAUUAGCUAGUUGGUGGGGUAAAGGCUCACCAAGGCAACGAUCCGUAGCUGGGUUGAGAGGACGACCGGCCACACUGGGACUGAGAAACGGCCCAGACUCCUACGGGAGGCAGCAGUGGGGAAUUUUGGACAAUGGGGGAAACCCUGAUCCAGCCAUCCCGCGUGAAUGAGAAGGCCUUCGGGUUGUAAAGUACUUUUGGCAGAGAAGCGGUAUCUGCAGAAUAAGCACCGGCUAACUACGUGCCAGCAGCCGCGGUAAUAC